rnacentral:rRNA from 1 species
GGCUCAGAUUGAACGCUGGCGGCAUGCCUUACACAUGCAAGUCGAACGGCAGCACGGGUGCUUGCACCUGGUGGCGAGUGGCGAACGGGUGAGUAAUACAUCGGAACGUACCUUAUCGUGGGGGAUAACGCAGCGAAAGCUGUGCUAAUACCGCAUACGCCCUGAGGGGGAAAGCGGGGGAUCGAAAGACCUCGCGCGAUUAGAGCGGCCGAUGCCUGAUUAGCUUGUUGGUGGGGUAAAAGCCCACCAAGGCGACGAUUAGUAGCUGGUCUGAGAGGACGAUCAGCCACACUGGGACUGAGACACGGCCCAGACUCCUACGGGAGGCAGCAGUGGGGAAUUUUGGACAAUGGGGGAAACCCUGAUCCAGCAAUGCCGCGUGAGUGAAGAAGGCCUUCGGGUUGUAAAGCUCUUUUGUCAGGGAAGAAACACCGGCUCUAACACAGUCCGGGAAUGACGGUACCUGAAGAAUAAGCACCGGCUAACUACGUG